GAUGAACGCUGGCGGCGUGCUUAACACAUGCAAGUCGAACGGAAAGGCUCCUGCUUGCAGGGGUACUCGAGUGGCGAACGGGUGAGUAACACGUGGGUGAUCUGCCCUGCACUUCGGGAUAAGCCUGGGAAACUGGGUCUAAUACCGGAUAGGACCACAUUUUGGAUGGUGUGGUGGAAAGUUUUUCGGUGUGGGAUGAGCUCGCGGCCUAUCAGCUUGUUGGUGGGGUAAUGGCCUACCAAGGCGUCGACGGGUAGCCGGCCUGAGAGGGUGUACGGCCACAUUGGGACUGAGAUGCGGCCCAGACUCCUACGGGAGGCAGCAGUGGGGAAUAUUGCACAAUGGGCGCAAGCCUGAUGCAGCGACGCCGCGUGGGGGAUGACGGCCUUCGGGUUGUAAACUCCUUUCGCUAGGGACGAAGCGCAAGUGACGGUACCUGGAGAAGAAGCACCGGCUAACUACGUG
rnacentral:rRNA from 1 species